GGCGAACGCUGGCGGCGCGCUUAACACAUGCAAGUCGAACGGAAAGGCCUGCUUUCCCUUGUGGAUUGCGGGUACUCGAGUGGCGAACGGGUGAGUAACACGUGAGUGAUCUGCCCCCAACUUGGGUAUAAGCCUGGGAAACUGGGUCUAAUUCCCGAUAGGACUGCAGGGUGGUGCCUGUGGUGGAAAACGAUUUUCUAGUGGUUGGGGAUGAGCUCGCGGCCUAUCAGCUUGUUGGUGGGGUAAUGGCCUACCAAGGCGGCGACGGGUAGCCGGCCUGAGAGGGUGGACGGCCACAUUGGGACUGGGAUACGGCCCAGACUCCUACGGGAGGCAGCAGUGGGGAAUAUUGCACAAUGGGCGGAAGCCUGAUGCAGCGACGCCGCGUGGGGGAUGACGGCCUUCGGGUUGUAAACUCCUUUCGACCGCGAGGAAGCCACCUGGUUGGAAGGGUGGUGACGGUAGUGGUAGAAGAAGCACCGGCUAACUACGUG
rnacentral:rRNA from 1 species